rnacentral:rRNA from 1 species
AUGCAAAAGAAGAAAGAUACGGAUAACAAUAUUGUCAAAUUGAAGUUAUCUCCAUUUUCACUUAGAGAUCGUGCUAAAAUUUGGUUUUCGUCUUUGCCCAAAAAUAGUAUUGAUUCUUGGAACAAGUGCAAAGAUGCUUUUAUCUCUAAGUAUUGUCCUCCCGCUGAGAUCAUCACUCUUAGGAACGAUAUUAUGAAUUUUAAACAACUUGAUCAUGAGCAUGUUGUCCAAUCUUGGGAAAGAAUGAAAUUGAUGCUUCGCAAUUGCCCUACUCAUGGUUUGAAUUUAUGGAUGAUCAUACAAAAUUUUUAUGCCGGUUUGAACUUUGCCUCUAGAAAUCUCUUAGAUUCGGCCGCGGGAGGCACGUUUAUGGAAAUUAUGUUAGGAGAUGCUACAAAAUUGCUUGAUAAUAUUAUGGCUAAUUAUUCUCAAUGGCACACCGAAAGAUCUUCUAGUAAAAAAGUGCAUGCUAUAGAAGAAAUCAAUGUUUUGAGUGGAAAGAUGGAUGAACUUAUGAAGAUGUUGGCUACUAAAAAUACUCCUCUUGAUCCAAAUGAUAUGCCUUUGUCUUCCUUGAUUGAGAAUAAUAAUGAAUCUAUGGAUGUGAAUUUUGUUGGUAGGAAUAAUUUUGGAAACAAUGCUUAUAUAGGAAAUUUUAAUACUAGACCAUUCCCUAGUAACCCCUCUAAUAAUUAUGGAAAUUCCUACAAUAAUUCUUAUGGUAAUUUUAAUAAGAUGCCCUCUGAUUUUGAGAAUAAUGUGAAAGAAUUUAUGAUUUCUCAAAAGAAUUUUAAUGCCUUGCUUGCAGAAAAUUGCUCAAAGUUGAUGAUUUGGCUAGGAACGUUGAUAGACUUUCACUUGAUGUUAAUUCUCUUAAACUUGGAUCUUCUUCUCCUAAGCAUGAUAUCAAUGAGUCUCUCAAAGUAA